UCGUGGAGGUCCGAACCCACGAGCGUUGAAAAGCUCGGGGAUGACUUGUGGGUAGCGGUGAAAUUCCAAUCGAGCCCGGAGAUAGCUGGUUCUCCCCGAAAUAGCUUUAGGGCUAGCCUCAAGGUGAGAGAUACGGAGGUAGAGCACUGAAUGUCCUAGGGGGUAUUGCACCUACCGAAGACUAUCAAACUCCGAAUGCCGUCAUCUUAUACUUGGGAGUCAGACUGUGGGUGAUAAGAUUCAUAGUCGAAAGGGCAACAGCCCAGAUCGUCAGCUAAGGUCCCUAAAUGUAAGUUAAGUGGUAAAGGAUGUGGGAUUGCACAGACAACCAGGAUGUUGGCUUAGAAGCAGCCACUCAUUCAAAGAGUGCGUAAUAGCUCACUGGUCGAGUGAUCCUGCGCCGAAGAUUUCCGGGGCUAAAACUUACUACCGAAGCUACGGCAUCAGUAAUGAUGGGUAGGGGAGCUUCCCAUACGGGUUGAAGCAUGACCGUAAGGACAUGUGGACAGUAUGGGAGUGAGAAUGUUGGCAUGAGUAGCGAGAUGUGGGUGAGAAUCCCACAGGCCGUAAACCCAAGGUUUCCAGGGGAAGGUUCGUCCGCCCUGGGUUAGUCGGGACCUAAGCUGAGGCCGAAAGGCGUAGGUGAUGGACAACAGGUUGAUAUUCCUGUACUACCGAUAACCGUUUGAGAGAAGGGAUGACACAGUAGGAUAAGCUAAGCACACUGUUGGUUAUGUGUGCCCAAGCAUUGAGGCAGUCAAAG
rnacentral:rRNA from 1 species